rnacentral:rRNA from 1 species
UGCCAGCCGCCGCGGUAAUACGGAGGGGGCAAGCGUUGUUCGGAAUUACUGGGCGUAAAGGGCGCGUAGGCGGAUGAUCAAGUCAGGGGUGAAAGGCCUGGGCUCAACCCAGGAAUUGCCUUUGAAACGGAUUAUCUAGAGACCGGAAGAGGAUGGCGGAAUUCCCAGUGUAGAGGUGAAAUUCGUAGAUAUUGGGAAGAACACCGGUGGCGAAGGCGGCCAUCUGGUCCGGGUCUGACGCUGAGGCGCGAAAGCGUGGGGAGCAAACAGGAUUAGAUA